rnacentral:lncRNA from 1 species
CGUUUGAGAAGAAGGUAAGAAGAAAUUACCUUCAUACAUUUUACGUCGUUUUUUGUAUUAUCAACGACGGUCAUGUAAAAUUACCGUCGUUGAAUAGAUAUACUACGUCGGUUAUGGUCGUCUGUGAUUGAAUUUCCUUUUAUUUAUAAACCCUAAUAGUCAUUGUUUAUGCAGUAUGCCAAGGGAAAACAGGAAGCGC